GAGUUUGAUCCUGGCUCAGAACGAACGCUGGCGGCAGGCCUAACACAUGCAAGUCGAGCGCAGUCCUUCGGGACCGAGCGGCGGACGGGUUAGUAACGCGUGGGAAUAUACCCUUCACUACGGAAUAGCCUCGGGAAACUGAGAGUAAUACCGUAUACGCCCUUCGGGGGAAAGAUUUAUCGGUGAAGGAUUAGCCCGCGUAAGAUUAGAUAGUUGGUGGGGUAAUGGCCUACCAAGUCUACGAUCUUUAGCUGGUUUUAGAGGAUGAUCAGCAACACUGGGACUGAGACACGGCCCAGACUCCUACGGGAGGCAGCAGUGGGGAAUCUUGGACAAUGGGCGCAAGCCUGAUCCAGCCAUGCCGCGUGAGUGAAGAAGGCCUUCGGGUUGUAAAGCUCUUUCGCAAGAGAAGAAAACUUGCUAUCUAAUAAAUAGUAAGUAUGACGGUAUCUUGACAAGAAGCACCGGCUAACUACGUGCCAGCAGCCGCGGUAAUACGUAGGGUGCAAGCGUUAAUCGGAAUUACUGGGCGUAAAGCGUGCGCAGGCAGUUUUAUAAGUCAGAUGUGAAAUCCCCGAGCUCAACUUGGGAACUGCGUUUGAAACUGUAAGACUAGAGUGUGUCAGAGGGGGGUAGAAUUCCAAGUGUAGCAGUGAAAUGCGUAGAGAUUUGGAGGAAUACCAAUGGCGAAGGCAGCCCCCUGGGAUAACACUGACGCUCAUGCACGAAAGCGUGGGAGCAAACAGGAUUAGAUACCCUGGUAGUCCACGCCCUAAACGAUGUCUACUAGUUGUUGGUGGAGUAAAAUCCAUGAGUAACGCAGCUAACGCGUGAAGUAGACCGCCUGGGGAGUACGGUCGCAAGAUUAAAACUCAAAUGAAUUGACGGGGGCCCGCACAAGCGGUGGAUUAUGUGGAUUAAUUCGAUGCAACGCGAAAAACCUUACCUGGCCUUGACAUGUACCGAAUUUAGCAGAGAUGCUUUAGUGCUCGAAAGAGAACGGUAACACAGGUGCUGCAUGGCUGUCGUCAGCUCGUGUCGUGAGAUGUUGGGUUAAGUCCCGCAACGAGCGCAACCCUUGCCAUUAAUUGCCAUCAUUUAGUUGGGCACUUUAAUGGGACUGCCGGUGACAAACCGGAGGAAGGUGGGGAUGACGUCAAGUCCUCAUGGCCCUUAUGGCCAGGGCUUCACACGUAAUACAAUGGUCGGUACAGAGGGAAGCCAACCCGCGAGGGGGAGCCAAUCUCAGAAAGCCGGUCGUAGUCCGGAUUGUUGUCUGCAACUCGACAGCAUGAAGUCGGAAUCGCUAGUAAUCGCGGAUCAGCAUGUCGCGGUGAAUACGUUCCCGGGCCUUGUACACACCGCCCGUCACACCAUGGGAGUGGGUUUUACCAGAAGUAGUUAGUCUAUCCGCAAGGGGGACGAUUACCACGGUAGGAUUCAUGACUGGGGUGAAGUCGUAACAAGGUAACC
rnacentral:rRNA from 1 species